UUUCCCUCAGGAUAGCUGGAGCACGCAACGUUUCGGAACCUAUUCUUAUCUGGUAAAGCGAAUGAUUAGAGGCCUUAGGUUCGAAAUGAUCUUAACCUAUUCUCAAACUAUAAAUGGGUACGUACCAUAGCAUUCUUGCAUGAUGCUGUUGCAACGUUGACGCCGGGUCGCCCCCCUGUCAGGGUGUGCCAUCCACAAGCGGCGUAGAAGAUAUCUGUGUGCUUAGUGGGCCAAGUUUUGGUAAGCAGAACUGGUGCUGUGGGAUGAACCA
rfam:Aedes aegypti strain Liverpool supercont1.142 genomic scaffold, whole genome shotgun sequence.